rnacentral:rRNA from 1 species
GUCCUUUUGAAUUUAAUUGAAGGUCUGACCUGCCCAGUGAUAAUUUUAACGGCCGCGGUAUACUGACCGUGCAAAGGUAGCAUAAUCAUUAGUCUUUUAAUAGAGGGCUGGAAUGAAAGGUUUAACGAGGAACUGACUGUCUCAUUUUAUUUGUUUUAAAAUUUAAUUUUUUAGUUAAAAAGCUAAAAUUUUAUUGGAAGACGAGAAGACCCUAUAGAUCUUUACAUAUUUUUAUUUAAAUAUUUUUAUAUCAAUAUUUUUAUUUUAAAAUGUGUUUUGUUGGGGUGACAAAAAUAUAUAAUUAACUUUUUUAUUUACAUAACAUUGAUUUAUGAUUAUUAGAUCCAAUCUUAUUGAUUAUUAGAUUAAGUUACCUUAGGGAUAACAGCGUAAUCCUCCUCCAGAGUUCAUAUUUACAGGAUGGGCUUGCGACCUCGAUGUUGGAUUAAGAUAAUAAUUAGGUGUAGCCGCUUAAUUUAUAGGUCUGUUCGACCUUUAAAUUCUU